CGCAUGCAGGCGGCCUGUUAAGUCAGAUGUGAAAGACCCGGGGCGUUAACCUUCCGGAAUUGUCAUUUGUAAACUAGGCAGGCUAGAGUCUUGUAGAGGGGGGUAGGAAGUUUCAGGUGUAGCGGUGAAAUAGCGUAGAGAUCUGAAGGAAUACCAGUGGCGAAGGCGGCCCCCUCGGACAAAGACUGACGCUCAGAUGCGAAAGCGUGGGGAGCAAACAGGAUUAGAUACCCUGGUAG
rnacentral:rRNA from 1 species